rnacentral:rRNA from 1 species
CGUUCUGUAAGCCUGUGAAGGUGUGCUGUGAGGCAUGCUGGAGGUAUCAGAAGUGCGAAUGCUGACAUAAGUAACGAUAAAGCGGGUGAAAAGCCCGCUCGCCGGAAGACCAAGGGUUCCUGUCCAACGUUAAUCGGGGCAGGGUGAGUCGACCCCUAAGGCGAGGCCGAAAGGCGUAGUCGAUGGGAAACAGGUUAAUAUUCCUGUACUUGGUGUUACUGCGAAGGGGGGACGGAGAAGGCUAUGUUGGCCGGGCGACGGUUGUCCCGGUUUAAGCGUGUAGGCUGGUUUUCCAGGCAAAUCCGGAAAAUCAAGGCUGAGGCGUGAUGACGAGGCACUACGGUGCUGAAGCAACAAAUGCCCU